ACAGCGGCGGGUGCUAACACAUGCAAGUCGAACGCGAAAGUCCCGCAAGGGGAUGAUUAGCGUGGCAAACGGGUGAGUAACGCGUGGGCGACUGCCUUCGAGUGGGGGAUAACCUUCCGAAAGGAGGGCUAAUACCGCAUACGACCGAGAGGUGAAAGGGGGCUCGCAAGGGCUCUCGUUCGAGGAGGGGUCCGCGUUCGAUUAGCUAGUUGGUAGGGUAAUGGCCUACCAAGGCGACGAUCGAUAGCCGGCCUGAGCAGGGUGAUCGGCCACACUGGAACUGAGACACGGUCCAGACUCCUACGGGAGGCAGCAGUGGGGAAUUUUGCGCAAUGGGCGAGAGCCUGACGCAGCAACGCCGCGUGGAGGAUGAAGGUCUUUGGACUUGUAAACUCCUGUCAGCGGGGAAACAAGGGCAUUGGGGUUAAUACCCCACGAAACUUGAUUUGUACCCGAAGAGGAAGCCCCGGCUAACUCUGUGCCAGCAAGCCCGAGGUAAUACAGAGGGGAGCAAGCGUAAUUCCGGAAUAUUGGGCGUAACAUGGGCGCGUAGGGCGGACUUUUCAAGUGACGGGUUGAAAUCCCUCG
rnacentral:rRNA from 1 species